ACCUGCAAAAAUAGUGAAUUACAAACAUAUUUCUAUAAAGUUCAACUUUCAUAUAUUGUUCCUAUAAAAAUUUUAAUAUUUUUAAAUAUGUCCCUCUGGUUUGUUAUCGUGAAGACACUGUCUGUUUUAUAAGUGAAAUGAUCUUUUUGCCAUCACAAAUAUGUGUCUUCAAAAGUCCCAACGGUUAUUUGAAGAGAGGUAAAAAGAUCAAUACACCUCAUUAAUUAAUCAGGUUUAAGUAUUUAACCUAUAGUUAACUAAAUUUUUCUAACGGAUUCUAACAGUAUAGACAUAUUUGACAACAUCAUAACUUUUGUAAGGACAAUAUAUGAAAGUUGAACUCUGUUGGAAAACAUUUGCAAGUCGCUAUAUUUUUAGGGACCUGUAUACAGUUAACCCUAAUUACUAUAUCAAU
rnacentral:lncRNA from 1 species